UACAGAGACUGCAAGCGUUAUUCGGAUUCACUGGGCGUAAAGGGUGCGCAGGCGGCCGUGUGUGUGAGGCGUGAAAGCCUGGAGCUUAACUCCAGAAUUGCACCUCAAACUACACGGCUAGAGCAUUGGAGAGGGUAGCGGAAUUCACGGUGUAGCAGUGAAAUGCGUAGAUAUCGUGAGGGAACACCAGAGGCGAAGGCGGCUACCUGGACAAUUGCUGACGCUCAGGCACGAAAGCGUGGGGAGCAAAAGGG
rnacentral:rRNA from 1 species